CAGUGAGCUGAGAGCCGGCCACUGCACUCCAGCCCGGGCGACAGAACGAGACUCCGUCUCAAAAAAAAAAAAAAAAACACCAUUUGUGGCAUGAGAGUGGUAGCAGCGUGAGGUGGAGGCACCACAAUGCCUGAUCAUGUGGGCCAAAAGCAGCUCAUAGCCCAUUUCUGUUCAGAUCUGUGUACAGGUGUUCAUAAGACCAAGAUGAAUAAGAUGCUCUGUUCCUGUCAAACGGUUCAUGUUCCCUUCUGUGUUAGUCCAUUCUUGCACUAAUACUUGAGACUGGAUAAUUUGUAAAGAUAAGAGGUUUGAUUGACUCAUGCUUCUGCAGGCUAUAUGGGAAGCAUAGCGGCUUCUGCUUCUGGGGAGACCUCAGGAAGCUUCCAGUCAUGGUGUAAGGCAGAGGGGGAGCGAGGCAUCUCACAUGGCGGGAUUAGGAGCAAGAGGGAGUGAGGGGGGAGAUAGUAUACACUUUGAAACAACCAGAUCUUGGGAAAACUCACUACCACGAGAACAGCACCAAAGGGAUGGUGCUGAACCUUUUAUGAGAAAGCUAGCCUCAUGAUCCCACCACCAGGCCCCACCUCCAACAUGGGGACUACAGUUUGACAGGAGAUUUGGUGGGGACAGAUCCAAACCAUGUCACCUUCAAAGACUCACCUCCAGCAGGAGGGAGGUAAAGGUCAAUUAGCCAUCGUAGUAUUACUGUAUAGUGAUGAUUGCAGAGCUAGGCAUAGAUGUGGCACAAGGAACUCUCACCUGUCUUGAGGAGAGAUCAGAGGAGGAAAUGGAACCCAAAGAUCUGUCUACCCCCUCAGAGAUGUUGGUAAUCCUGCAUGAAAAACCAGUUUAGUGCUCGCCUCGGCAGCACGUAUACUAAAAUUGGAACAAUACAGAGAAGAUUUGCAUGGCCCCUGUGCCAGGAUGACACGCAGAUUCGUGAAGCAUUCCAUAUUUUUGUCACCCUGGACUUCGAGCAGGAGAUGGCCACUGCUGCAUCCUCCUCCCUGAAGAAGAGCUACGAGCUGCCCGAUGGCCAGGUCAUCACCAUCGGCAACAAGCGGUUCCAGUGUCUGGAGGCGCUGUUCCAGCCUUCCUUCCUGGGUGUGGAAUCUUGCUGCAUCCACGAGACCACGUUCAACUCCAUCAUGAAGUGUGACGUGGACAUCCGCAAAGACCUGUACACCAACGUGGUGCUGUCCGGCGGCACCACCAUAUACCCGGGCAUCACCGACAGGAUACAGAAAGAGAUCAACGCCAUGACACCCAGCACUAUGAAGAUCAAGCUCAUAGUACAAGUACUCGAUGUGGAUCAGCGGCUCCAUCGUGGCCUCACUGUCCACCUUCUAGCAGAUGUGGAUUAGCAAGCAGGAGUACAAGUCAGGCCCCUCUAUCGUCCACUGCAAAUGCUUCUAAAUGGACUGCGAGCAGAUGCAUAGCAUUUGCUGCAUGGGUUAAUUCAGAAGUAUAAAUUUGCCCCUGGCAAAUGCAUACACCUCAUGCUGGCCUCACGAAACUGGAAUAAGCCUUCGAAAAGAAAUUGUCCUUGAAGCUUGUAUCUGAUAUCAGCACGGGAUUGUAGAACUUGUUGCUGAUUUUGACCUUGUAUUCAAGUUAACUGUUCCCCUUGGUAUUUGUUUAAUACCCUGUACGCAUCUUUGCUUUCAACCCUUAGUACAUGUGGCUCGGUCACUGCAUGGUAAGGUCAGAACGUGCUUGUGGAAGACAAGUCUGUGGCUUGGUGAGUCUGCAUGGCCAGCAGUCUCCAAUCUAUGCGGGAUAUUAAUAUAUCAUGGCUGAGUGUUCUGGGAUUUCUCUGGAGGCUGGCAAGGGCUCCUGAACCAGUUGUUUCUGUCCUGCGGGUCUGUCAGGGUUGGCAAGUCCAAGCCAUAGGGCCCAGUUUCCUUUCUUAGCUGAUGUUUUCCUGCCAGAACACUGUGGGCCGUGGAAGCGGUUUGCAUUUACACCUGUAAAUAUAUUCCUGGUUCUAGUUUAUGUAAGGUUUUUUGUAUGCAAUUCUCAAUUCUUUAAAGAGAUGAGAACAGAUUUUGUUUUUCUACUGUUACGUGAGAACAUUAGGCCCCAGCAGCACGUCAUUGUGAAGGAAAAAUAAAAGUGCUGCAGUAACCAAAAAAAAAAAAAAGAAAGCCAUCCUGGC